GUAUGUGUAGAUGCAUACGCGUCUCUCUCUCUAUUGCCUUAACGAUUAAGGUUGAAGAGAAGGAAAAUAGAAGGUGGAGAUAGGGAAAAGGAAGCUUGAGGAUUACAAAAGAAGAUAGGUGGGGGUGUGUAGGAAGAGAGAUUCUGGUUUAUAUAUAUAUGAUGGGUCAUAUAAAUAAAGAGGUCCAUUAUUCACACCCACUUCCGUUCCAAAAGAGAAGGGGGGAAAAAGCUAAAGGGUUGUUGAAGAAGUGGAGGAUGUGAUUUUUCAUUCAGGGAAUAAUAGACGAGGAUCUUCUAUCUUCUAUGUCGUAUAAUGCCACACCCAAUGCUUUACAACACAGGAUCCAUCAGGAUAUGUUGUUCCUCUCACUACUCUAAAAUACCACCCUCGAUUCAUUUUUUCUUUCUUUCUUUCACUGUGACAGCUAUUCAUUUUCUGCAUGUGAGAUUCCUC
rnacentral:lncRNA from 1 species